rnacentral:siRNA from 1 species
GUGGACAAUCGAGUGGCUGAUGA